rnacentral:misc_RNA from 1 species
GUGAUCCUUAUCUCACUACAAAUGACAUUUUGCUUGGUACUGUGGACAGACCAAAAGCUGCACAGCCCUUGUAUGCUGCCCUUGAUGACCUAUACUCCAGUCUGAGGUGUUAGUUGCCAGGCUCUAUGAUUGUGGCAUGUCUCUGUUGGAUGGUAAGUCUCUAUCCAAUCUAAUGUUUCUCUGUGCAUGUGCCAUGUCUCUGUCAGCUGUUGAGAUGAGCACUUGCUCCUGAACUUGAUUCUCCCUCUCUGAAUUGUAUAGUGGCCCUAAAUUUAUUGGGUGUAUGCCCACACAAAGGGACGACAGUUUCACGUUCGUUUAUUAUGAGCUCUCAUUCAAUUUGGUUAAUGUGCUUUUGCAAAUGUCACGAUGUAAAUAGAUAAUUGUAUAAUACCCAAUUAUUGGGAUUUGAAAAUAUAUAGAUUAUUUGGAUGAUGAUCAACUUGACUUUUG